rnacentral:tRNA from 1 species
GCGGCGGUGGGACGUGGGGCCGAUGGCCGCCCGGCCCGCCGGGCCGGGCGAUCAGGAGGCAGUGCCCCGAGUCGUUCGAACCUUGUCCGCCGCG